AGGACAGACAAGCAGCAGUACACCUGGGCAGACACACACACACACGGCCUAAGGGCCGUAACACUAUUGACUUUCAGCUGGUCCUAAAGACUCAGUUGCCCUGUUCCAUUGGAUAGCCACCGGUUUUGUCUGGGUCCCAGUCGGCAGUCUGGCUAACAGACAGUUCCUGAUCUCCAGUCUGCAGCCAGGCCAACACUAACUCUUCAUGUUUCGUUAGCUGCCCAGUUGACUCUUGCUCCCACUGUCCAAUCGUUGGUCCGGGCAAGUCCUGGUUUCUAUUGUCCAGUCAGUGGCCCAGCCAACUCCUGUUUCUUUGGCAGUCUGGCUGACUCUCGCUUCCAAUGUCAAGUCAGAGAUCACGUUACACGUUGAUGUGGUGAGCGGUAAAACCAGCACAGGUUUACAGAGACAUUUUGACUUUUCCAAAAAGACACUCGGACAGUAAAAGUCUUUUCUGUCAUUACAUGUGUGGCAGGAUGAGGUUUUUUUUCCCUCCCUCUUACCUGUGUACGGGAAGGUGCACCAGCACACCUGGGGCUCAUCCCCUUUGAUUGGGGGAGGUGGAGAGCUGCCUUUUUAAGCCUGUGUGGUAGACUCAUUUGGGUUUCUGUCUUCUCCUGUUGGGUGUGGAGACGCGUCUGGGCUGGCGUGCUGCACGUUUGUUGCCGUUAGUUUACUGCGGAGUGAACCAACUUUGUUUCGCCGUGGAUAUUCCCCGUGUGGAUAGAUGAAUACCUGGGCUGCUGGCGUUGGGUGCCUCGUUGGGUGCUGUGUGUUUGCGCGGAUUGCUUGCCCCCCUGCCGGGGUCUGAGGGUGGCGUGUCCCGUAAAGCGCGGGACCGAGCUACAGCCGUGUGCAUGUUGCUGUUGAGGCUGUUGGGUGCCACAGUUAUCUAAGAGGUUAACACUCCCCGGCGUGUUUCUCCUCCCACUCAUGCUGUUCUGGCUAUCGGUAUAAAACUUUGCUGUGUAUUGAUACAGUGUCUGGAUAUAUGACUGUCCUGGAUGCACAGAACUGGUUUGGAGUAAUACGUUUUAAGUGUUUGAAUAUCCAGACAUUGGCUCUGUAAAUAUUGGUAUCAACUUGAUGUAUAUUGCAUGUGGGUUUGUUUGUGGGUUUUUUCUUUGUUUGAUUUUGAUCCUUUAAUUACGCAUGCGGGUUUGUUGAUUUGAAUGGUGUUUUUCUCUAAUACGCAUUACAUAUAUUUUUCUUAAUAGAGCAGGUGUUGCUAUUUUAAAUUAUGACAAAAGAAAAAUAAAAUUGUGGUGUUUUUAUUUUUUA